rnacentral:rRNA from 1 species
AGUGAACGCUGGCGGUAGGCCUAACACAUGCAAGUCGAACGGCAGCACAGUAAGAGCUUGCUCUUACGGGUGGCGAGUGGCGGACGGGUGAGGAAUACAUCGGAAUCUACUUUUUCGUGGGGGAUAACGUAGGGAAACUUACGCUAAUACCGCAUACGACCUACGGGUGAAAGCAGGGGAUCUUCGGACCUUGCGCGAUUGAAUGAGCCGAUGUCGGAUUAGCUAGUUGGCGGGGUAAAGGCCCACCAAGGCGACGAUCCGUAGCUGGUCUGAGAGGAUGAUCAGCCACACUGGAACUUAGACACGGUCCAGACUCCUACGGGAGGCAGCAGUGGGGAAUAUUGGACAAUGGGCGCAAGCCUUAUCCAGCCAUACCGCGUGUGUGAAGAAGGCCUUCGGGUUGUAAAGCCCUUUUGUUGGGAAAGAAAAGCAGCAGGUUAAUACCCCGCUGUUCUGACGGUACCCAAAGAAUAAGCACCGGCUAACUUCGUG